UUAAGCGACUAAGCGUACACGGUGGAUGCCCUGGCAGUCAGAGGCGAUGAAGGACGUGCUAAUCUGCGAAAAGCGUCGGUAAGGUGAUAUGAACCGUUACAGCCGGCGAUGUCCGAAUGGGGAAACCCAGUGCAAUUCGUUGCACUAUCGUUAACUGAAUACAUAGGUUAACGAGGCGAACCGGGGAACUGAAACAUCUAAGUACCCCGAGGAAAAGAAAUCAACCGAGAUUCCCCCAGUAGCGGCGAGCGAACGGGGAGCAGCCCAGAGUCUGAAUCAGCUUGUGUGUUAGUGGAACGGUCUGGAAAGUCCGACGGUACAGGGUGAUAGUCCCGUACACCAAAAUGCACAGGCUGUGAACUCGAAGAGUAGGGCGGGACACGUGGUAUCCUGUCUGAAUAUGGGGGGACCAUCCUCCAAGGCUAAAUACUCCUGACUGACCGAUAGUGAACCAGUACCGUGAGGGAAAGGCGAAAAGAACCCCGGCGAGGGAGUGAAAAGAACCUGAAACCGUGUACGUACAAGCAGUGGGAGCACCUUCGGGUGUGACUGCGUACCUUUGUAUAAUGGGUCAGCGACUUAUAUUCUGUAGCAAGGUUAACCGUAUAGGGGAGCCGCAGGAAACCGAGUCUUAACUGGGCGUUAAGUUGCAGGGUAUAGACCCGAAACCCGGUGAUCUAGCCAUGGGCAGGUUGAAGGUUGGGUAACACUAACUGGAGGACCGAACCGACUAAUGUUGAAAAAUUAGCGGAUGACUUGUGGCUGGGGGUGAAAGGCCAAUCAAACCGGGAGAUAGCUGGUUCUCCCCGAAAGCUAUUUAGGUAGCGCCUCGUGAAUUCAUCUUCGGGGGUAGAGCACUGUUUCGGCUAGGGGGUCAUCCCGACUUACCAACCCGAUGCAAACUACGAAUACCGAAGAAUGUUAUCACGGGAGACACACGGCGGUGCUAACGUCCGUCGUGAAGAGGGAAACAACCCAGACCGCCAGCUAAGGUCCCAAAGUCAUGGUUAAGUGGGAAACGAUGUGGGAAGGCACAGACAGCGGAUGUUGGCUUAGAAGCAGCCAUCAUUUAAAGAAAGCGUAAUAGCUCACUGGUCGAGUCGGCCUGCGCGGAAGAUGUAACGGGGCUAAACCAUGCACCGAAGCUGCGGCAGCGACACUAUGUGUUGUUGGGUAGGGGAGCGUUCUGUAAGCCUGCGAAGGUGGCCUGUGAGGGUUGCUGGAGGUAUCAGAAGUGCGAAUGCUGACAUAAGUAACGAUAAAGCGGGUGAAAAGCCCGCUCGCCGGAAGACCAAGGGUUCCUGUCCAACGUUAAUCGGGGCAGGGUGAGUCGACCCCUAAGGCGAGGCCGAAAGGCGUAGUCGAUGGGAAACAGGUUAAUAUUCCUGUACUUGGUGUUACUGCGAAGGGGGGACGGAGAAGGCUAUGUUAGCCGGGCGACGGUUGUCCCGGUUUAAGCAUGUAGGCGGAGGUUCCAGGUAAAUCCGGUACCUUUUAACGCUGAGGUGUGAUGACGAGGCACUACGGUGCUGAAGUAACAAAUGCCCUGCUUCCAGGAAAAGCCUCUAAGCAUCAGGUAACAUUAAAUCGUACCCCAAACCGACACAGGUGGUCAGGUAGAGAAUACCAAGGCGCUUGAGAGAACUCGGGUGAAGGAACUAGGCAAAAUGGUGCCGUAACUUCGGGAGAAGGCACGCUGGUGUGUAGGUGAAGUCCCUGCGGACGGAGCUGAGACCAGUCGAAGAUACCAGCUGGCUGCAACUGUUUAUUAAAAACACAGCACUGUGCAAACACGAAAGUGGACGUAUACGGUGUGACGCCUGCCCGGUGCCGGAAGGUUAAUUGAUGGGGUUAUCCGUAAGGAGAAGCUCUUGAUCGAAGCCCGGUAAACGGCGGCCGUAACUAUAACGGUCCUAAGGUAGCGAAAUUCCUUGUCGGGUAAGUUCCGACCUGCACGAAUGGCGUAAUGAUGGCCAGGCUGUCUCCACCCGAGACUCAGUGAAAUUGAACUCGCUGUGAAGAUGCAGUGUACCCGCGGCAAGACGGAAAGACCCCGUGAACCUUUACUAUAGCUUGACACUGAACAUUGAGCCUUGAUGUGUAGGAUAGGUGGGAGGCUUUGAAGCGUGGACGCCAGUCUGCGUGGAGCCAACCUUGAAAUACCACCCUUUAAUGUUUGAUGUUCUAACGUUGGCCCGUAAUCCGGGUUGCGGACAGUGUCUGGUGGGUAGUUUGACUGGGGCGGUCUCCUCCCAAAGAGUAACGGAGGAGCACGAAGGUUAGCUAAUCCUGGUCGGACAUCAGGAGGUUAGUGCAAUGGCAUAAGCUAGCUUGACUGCGAGCGUGACGGCGCGAGCAGGUGCGAAAGCAGGUCAUAGUGAUCCGGUGGUUCUGAAUGGAAGGGCCAUCGCUCAACGGAUAAAAGGUACUCCGGGGAUAACAGGCUGAUACCGCCCAAGAGUUCAUAUCGACGGCGGUGUUUGGCACCUCGAUGUCGGCUCAUCACAUCCUGGGGCUGAAGUAGGUCCCAAGGGUAUGGCUGUUCGCCAUUUAAAGUGGUACGCGAGCUGGGUUUAGAACGUCGUGAGACAGUUCGGUCCCUAUCUGCCGUGGGCGCUGGAGAAUUGAGGGGGGCUGCUCCUAGUACGAGAGGACCGGAGUGGACGCAUCACUGGUGUUCGGGUUGUCAUGCCAAUGGCACUGCCCGGUAGCUAAAUGCGGAAGAGAUAAGUGCUGAAAGCAUCUAAGCACGAAACUUGCCCCGAGAUGAGUUCUCCCUGAGACUUUAAGUCUCCUGAAGGAACGUUGAAGACGACGACGUUGAUAGGCCGGGUGUGUAAGCGCAGCGAUGCGUUGAGCUAACCGGUACUAAUGAACCGUGAGGCUUAACCU
rnacentral:rRNA from 2 species